UGGCUCAGGAUGAACGCUGGCGGCGUGCCUAAUACAUGCAAGUCGAGCGAACUGAUUAGAAGCUUGCUUCUAUGACGUUAGCGGCGGACGGGUGAGUAACACGUGGGCAACCUGCCUGUAAGACUGGGAUAACUCCGGGAAACCGGAGCUAAUACCGGAUAACAUUUUCUCUUGCAUAAGAGAAAAUUGAAAGAUGGUUUCGGCUAUCACUUACAGAUGGGCCCGCGGUGCAUUAGCUAGUUGGUGAGGUAACGGCUCACCAAGGCAACGAUGCAUAGCCGACCUGAGAGGGUGAUCGGCCACACUGGGACUGAGACACGGCCCAGACUCCUACGGGAGGCAGCAGUAGGGAAUCUUCCGCAAUGGACGAAAGUCUGACGGAGCAACGCCGCGUGAGUGAUGAAGGCUUUCGGGUCGUAAAACUCUGUUGUUAGGGAAGAACAAGUACAAGAGUAACUGCUUGUACCUUGACGGUACCUAACCAGAAAGCCACGGCUAACUACGUGCCAGCAGCCGCGGUAAUACGUAGGUGGCAAGCGUUAUCCGGAAUUAUUGGGCGUAAAGCGCGCGCAGGCGGUUUCUUAAGUCUGAUGUGAAAGCCCACGGCUCAACCGUGGAGGGUCAUUGGAAACUGGGGAACUUGAGUGCAGAAGAGAAAAGCGGAAUUCCACGUGUAGCGGUGAAAUGCGUAGAGAUGUGGAGGAACACCAGUGGCGAAGGCGGCUUUUUGGUCUG
rnacentral:rRNA from 2 species